UUUUUGAAUUUAAUAAAAAGUCUGACCUGCCCACUGAAUAAAUUUUAAAGGGCCGCGGUAUUUUGACUGUGCAAAGGUAGCAUAAUCAUUUGUCUUUUAAUUGGAGGCUAGAAUGAAUGGUUAAAUGAAGUAUUAACUGUCUCAUUUUAAUAAGUAUAAAAAUUUAAUUUUUUAGUUAAAAAGCUAAAAUGUUAUUAAAGGACGAGAAGACCCUAUAAAUCUUUAUUUAUUUAUAUAAAUUUAAUAUUAGAUUAUAAUUAUUAAUUAUUUAUAAAUAAAUUUUAUUGGGGUGAUAGGAAAAUUAAUCAAACUUUUUUUUAUUUUAAACUAUUGAUUUAUAAAUUAUUGAUCCAUUAUUAAUGAUUAUAAGAUUAAGAUACUUUAGGGAUAACAGCGUAAUUUUUUUAGAGAGUUCUUAUCGAUAAAAAAGAUUGCGACCUCGAUGUUGAAUUAAAAUUAAAUUUUAAAUGUAGCAGUUUAAGAUAUUAGGUCUGUUCGACCUUUAAAUUUUU
rnacentral:rRNA from 1 species